UGGCGAACGGGUGAGUAACACGUGGGUAAUCUGCCCUGCAUUCUGGGAUAAGCCUGGGAAACUGGGUCUAAUACUGGAUAUGACCUUUCUCCUUAUGGGGUUUGGUGGAAAGUUUUUCGGUGUAGGAUGAGCCCGCGGCCUAUCAGCUUGUUGGUGGGGUGAUGGCCUACCAAGGCGACGACGGGUAGCCGGCCUGAGAGGGUGAUCGGCCACAUUGGGACUGAGAUACGGCCCAG
rnacentral:rRNA from 1 species